rnacentral:rRNA from 1 species
UAAGCGGAGGAAAGAAAAUAACUAUGAUUCCCUUAGUAACGGCGAGUGAACAGGGAGAAGCCCAAAUUUGUAAUCUGGCACUUUUUACAGGUGUCCGAGUUGUAAUUUGUAGAACUGCUAUCCGUACUGGACCAUGUACAAGUCUGUUGAAAAGCAGCAUCAUUGAAGGUGAAAAUCCUGUAGAUGAUAUGGACUACCAGUAUAUUUGUGAUGCGGUUUCUAAGAGUCGAGUUGUUUGGGAAUGCAGCUCAAAGUGGGUGGUAAAUUCCAUCUAAGGCUAAAUAUGAGUGAGAGACCGAUAGCAUACAAGUACCGUGAGGGAAAGAUGAAAAGAACUUUGAAAAUAGAGUUAACAGUACGUGAAAUUGCUGAAAGGGAAACGUUUGAAGUUAGUUUUGUAUUCGUUGGAUCAGCUUCGCAAGGAGUGUAUUCCGAUGAUAGGCAAGUCAACAUCAAUCUAUGAGUGUUGGAUAAGGGUUUUGAGAACGUAGCAAUUCAGUUGUGUUAUAGCUCGAGACUUGGAUACGAUGCUUUGGAUUGAGGAACGCGUAGUAAGCUUUGAGCGGAUUCGAAAGGAUCUCCUUACUAUGGAUGUUGGUGAAAUAACUUUAAGCGACCCGUCUUGAAA